rnacentral:rRNA from 1 species
GAUUCUGGCUCAGGAUGAACGCUGGCGGCGUGCCUAACACAUGCAAGUCGAGCGAUUUACUUCGGUAAGGAGCGGCGGACGGGUGAGUAACGCGUGGGUAACCUGCCUCAUACACAUGGAUAACAUACCGAAAGGUAUGCUAAUACAGGAUAAUAUAAGAGAUUCACAUGGAUUUCUUAUCAAAGCUCCGGCGGUAUGAGAUGGACCCGCGUCUGAUUAGCUAGUUGGUAAGGUAAUGGCUUACCAAGGCGACGAUCAGUAGCCGACCUGAGAGGGUGAUCGGCCACAUUGGAACUGAGACACGGUCCAAACUCCUACGGGAGGCAGCAGUGGGGAAUAUUGCACAAUGGGCGAAAGCCUGAUGCAGCAACGCCGCGUGAGUGAUGAAGGCCUUCGGGUCGUAAAACUCUGUCCUCAAGGAAGAUAAUGACGGUACUUGAGGAGGAAGCCCCGGCUAACUACGUGCCAGCCGCCGC